rnacentral:ribozyme from 1 species
GAAGCAGGUCACUUGAGACACUUGAGUUUUUUUUUUUUUUUUUUUUUUUUUUUU